AGUGAACGCUGGCGGUAGGCCUAACACAUGCAAGUCGAACGGCAGCACAGUAAGAGCUUGCUCUUACGGGUGGCGAGUGGCGGACGGGUGAGGAAUACAUCGGAAUCUACUUUUUCGUGGGGGAUAACGUAGGGAAACUUACGCUAAUGCCGCAUACGACCUACGGGUGAAAGCAGGGGAUCUUCGGACCUUACGCGAUUGAAUGAGCCGAUGUCGGAUUAGCUAGUUGGCGGGGUAAAGGCCCACCAAGGCGACGAUCCGUAGCUGGUCUGAGAGGAUGAUCAGCCACACUGGAACUGAGACACGGUCCAGACUCCUACGGGAGGCAGCAGUGGGGAAUAUUGGACAAUGGGCGCAAGCCUGAUCCAGCCAUACCGCGUGGGUGAAGAAGGCCUUCGGGUUGUAAAGCCCUUUUGUUGGGAAAGAAAAGUAGCAGGUUAAUACCCCGCUGUUCUGACGGUACCCAAAGAAUAAGCACCGGCUAACUUCGUG
rnacentral:rRNA from 1 species